rnacentral:rRNA from 1 species
UCGCGCAGCACGCGCAGGUCCGGACGUUCGGCGAUGGUGUAGCCCUGGCCAAAAUCGCCGAAGGCGAUGGCGGUGGCGUCGGUCGCGAUGUCCGGCAUGUCCUCGGCGACCACCACCGGAUAGCCCAUCAGGCGCGAAGGCUGGCCGGAAACCACGCUCUCCGACCACAGGAAGCGGCCGUCCGAGUCCUUCAUCUUCCGCACCGCGCCGGCGGUCUUGGAGUUCAUUACGAAGACCGCGUUGGAACGAUAGGGCGCAUCGAGCGCAUAGAUCAGGUCGACGAUGGCGUCGGCCGGAUCGAUGGCGGCGAAAUCGCCGGCGGUGCCGGUGGCGACAUAACCGAGAUUGCCCCAGGUCCAGCUGUCAUUGGCGACCGCAGAGUAGUUCAGGAAGCCGUUCGGCUUGUCCACGCCGUCGCCGGUGAUGAAGGCGGCGUUCUCGGCGCGGGUGAAACGAUCCGCCACGCGGUCGGCCAACCAGCGCUCGACAUCGAAGCUCGCAUCGUCCAGCAGGCGCUGCGACGCCUUGGGCGAGGCGCUGAGCUCAUGCAGGGUGAUCGAAAUGCGGUCGAUCUGCGGCGUCGCGGUCUCGUUGAUCGGGCCGGCCUCGGCGGUCCACUCGGCGCCCAGAUCGGUGUGGUCGAUCAGCACGUCAUAGGCGCCGGCGUCGACGAUCUGCACGCUGGCGAUGCCGCGGAUCGAAGAGGUCGAGCGCAGCACCGAGUUGAUGUUGUCGGCGGUCUGCGGAUCCACCAGAUAGCCA